rnacentral:lncRNA from 1 species
GCGACGCGAGGAGAUAUGGGCUGGACCUCGACCAAGACUAAACUAAGAAAAUCGUGUGUACGCUUACUAUGUAAACUUUAUAGACUUGAUGAGAAUCGUCUCCUAAGUAAGAUUUGGAGAUGGUCAUUCAGAAGAAGAAAAGGUUGGACUUUUGAGGUGAAUAAAAUUGUAGACAAGGUGGAUAGUAAUAUUGUUGUACAGGACAUUGGCGUUUCUGUGAACAAUGCAAUGCAAGUGGUCCAUGAAAAACUCAUCAACUUAGACAAUGUAGAAUGGCGAAAUGAACUUUUAAAUGAUAAAGGCAACCAAGUAAAUGGAAACAAACUUCGUACCUAUCGACUUUAUAAAGACAAUGUUAAUGUUGA